rnacentral:lncRNA from 1 species
ACAAAUGAGAGUUAGGAGUGUGUACUUGUUUGGAGGUUUGAAGAGAAAAUAAUAAAUAUAUUAAGGUAUGUUAAUUUUUUUUUGUAAUAUUUAAUUUGAAAAAAGUAUUAUUUAUAUUUUAGGUUAGGGUUAUUGUCGGAUUUACAACUAUAAAAAAGAAAGAAUCGUAGAGAAGAAGCAAGAACAUUUAGCAACAUAAUCAUCUGUUAAAGUUUUAAAUUUCACUCAACUUUAUUUGAACAAUAAAACAGGGAUAGUUAUAACAAGAAACAUUGCUAAAAUGGGAGGAAAUAACUUAAGAUUUUAUGCUAAUAAUGCUAAACAUAUUAUACUAAUAAAUACUAAAUUUUCUAGAAAGAAAAUAUAUCUUGUAAACUAAACUUGCAUGCAGGCCCUUAAAUUCCAGUUGCUUCUCAGUUACAUGGUUUAGCUUUAUACAACUCGCGUCUUUUACCUCGACCCCAGUUCGUAUCUUUCUUAUGAUCCUAGUUCGCUAAAGAAAGAAACUUUCCACUUCGUGAUAACUCGCCAAUCUUAGAGGGUUUGUCAAUAUUGGUGUGUUCGCCAACUUUGCAUGUGUUCAUUUGGGGUAGCUCGCCAUACCCAGAGGGUUCGUCAAUUUGAUGAUCUCGCAGUCUUGAUGAGCUCACAUUUUUAGGUGAGUUUGCAUGUUUGAGUGAGCUUGCAUGGAUGACCACUUCACAAUAGUUGUGUUAAAAGUUAAUUGAUAUAUUAUUAGAUUAGAUUAGUGUUAAGGUAUGUUAACUUCGAACAUUAUACUUUUCUUUGAAUAUUAUAAUUGUGUAUUAAGAUAUAACAUUGAACAUUUUUUUGAAAUAAAAUGACUGUGCUAUUAUUUGAUAAAUAAAAAUAGCUACCAAAACCCCCCAACACAUAUUGGUCUCAGUGUUUUUUAGAAAACAAAUAAAAACGGACAUGGGUACCCACUUCUAAAUGAGAAGCCCAUUGCUAGAAGUAAACAAAACAGAAAACGACAAUAAAUUUGAAAUAGACAAACAUAAAGGAAAUAAUAAAAAUAAAUAAAAUGAAGCCCUAUCCCUAUCCCCAGUCACAUUUUAACAGCCUGACCACCAUUUAAUUUUCUUAUCUUUUCACGCCAUCAGCCAUGCCUUUUCAGCAGAUUUAUCUUCCCAAAAAUCUUUUUACUUUACCUGCUAAUUUUGUCUUCUCACUUCCUCCUUCACCACCAGAUUCAAUCUGGAUUUCUUCUCCACCUUCCUUCCAGAGCGAUCUCACUAUGGUUCAUCUCAUCCUCCUUUAGGUACGUUUCCUCCCUUCUUUUUAGUGCUUCUGUUACUAUUCUAUGAGCGUGAGUUCUCAGAUCAGUGAAUGAACUGAAAAGUAACCUUUGGGAGCCCCGAUCUUUUAUUCUGAAUAUCCUUGAUGAUUGUUCCUAGUACUGAUUUAUCCAUUGCUGUCGAUUGAAAUUUUUUUAUGACUGUUUUUGAAUCUCCCAUUGUUGUUACUGAGUUUAGACCCAGUAAUAAUACUAACUUGAUGGCUUCUAAUCCUACCCGAGCUUCUGCUACGAACGGGGAUGAGAUAUUGUUAUGGAGAAUCGUCUUUGAGGCUUUAAACUCACCAAUUUGGUCCCGAACCACCAAACUUGAAGCCGAUCUAAAACAUCUCCUAUCAAAGGCAACAUCAAACUGUACCAUAGUGCUCGUUGUUAUCCUUGGUGGUUGAUGAGUUUUCACUGUAGUAAAGGUAAGCUUUUUAUCACGCACCCUUCAAGUUCUGCAACAUAUCUUCUGAUUUUUUGUGACAUAGCUCUGACUGUAAUGUGUUUUCUUUCAUGUAUAAACUGAUUUCUUGAGCCCCAAAUGAACCAUAAGGCGCAAUAAAAGAAAUCGCACCGUUCAUUAGUGCCUUUUCUGAAAGCCCAGGUCAGCCACUCCCAGAUGUUGUGACUUGUAUGCGAUGUAACCCAAGAGAGAUAUAGCUCUUGUCAUAACUCAUUUGUUGCCGAACACUGUCUGAAAACAUGGAAGCUAUCCUCUGCUCUGGAGCUACAACGGGGACAUGUAUCAUUUGUAACCACACGCUUAUGUCUAAGAUUAACUAGUGUGGGGAUGAAAUUCCAAGAGAUCCUCCAAAUGGUCAAUGUAAUUUUUGAUUGUAGCUGUAAGUCCCAUAGCUUUCUAUAAAAUUCUUUAGUUUCGGCCUGUAAUAAAUAACUGGUAGGAUCCAAGCUAGCAUAUUGUAAUAGUUUAUAGGCACUUCGGACUGAAAAAUCUCCGGAAGGUUCUCCUUUCCACACUGGAAAUCUUCGUAGUCUGCUCUGCAAGAGGAAUCUACAAUAUCUUUUAGGCUACUUCCAUUUGGAAGGUAUUAUUGAUUAACUCUGCUUUCCAUGUCUCAUUUUCACUAUCAAUUAGAUCUAAAACUUACUGUAGCUCAUUAUUUUCUUCGCUGGUUUGCCAACCAACUUUUUCACUCCCUAGGAUCCAGCAAUCAUUCCAUAUAGAAAUAUUAUUCCCUCUUCCAAUUCUCCAGUACAAUCCGUUUCGGAGGAGACCCUUUGCUGCCCAGAUGCUCUUCAAGGUAAAAGAAGGUCCCAACUUGCACUUAGAAAAUUCAAAUUUGGAAAAUAUUUUCUUUAAGAACUCUUGCCAGUAAAGAAUUUGGGUAAUUAAAAAUACGCCAACCCUGUUUGGCUAAUAACGCAAUAUUGAAUUGGCUAAAACUUUGGAAACCCAAACCUCCAUUCUUUUUUAAAAAACAGAUAUUUUUCCAUGAGCACCAGUGAAUACCUUUUUUCCAAUGCCACUUUUUCCACCAAUAUUUGGCAAUAAUCCCUUCCAGUUCAUCACAUAAAGAUUUUGGUAAUAAAAAACAAGCCAUUGAAUAUGUCGGUAUAGCCUGUAAAAUAACUUUUAUAAAAACUUUCUUUCCACCAUGAGACAAAUAUCUCUUGCUCCAAUUAUCGAUGCGCUGUUUUAUUCGAACUUUUAAAACUUGGAAAGAUUAUUUUUUAUUUUUCCAACUAUACUCGGCAAACCUAAGUACCUUUCCGAAUCGCUUGAGCUACGAACUCCUAAUUGAUUAACAACGGCUUGUCUGUCUUCCUCUGAUGUAUUUUUACUGAAAAAGAUGGUUGAUUUGUCAAAAUUAACACACUAACCCGAUCUUUUUUUGUAUUCACGCAAGAUUUCCUUGAUUGUCAAAGCUUCUCUUCUUGUUGCCUCCCCAAAUAAGAUGCAAUCAUCUGCGAAUGAUAAAUGAGAUACCUGUGGACCGCUUCUACUCACCUUGAACAUUUUAUUUUGGUUAUUUUGUACGAUAUGUUUAUUUUAUUAGAAUUAUAAAAUGAUUAGAAUUGUUAAAAUUGUGAUUUAAGAUACAUUGAACAUUAUAUUUUUGUUAUUUUGGAGUGUAUGUUUAUUGAGAUAGUUUUGGUAGUGCAUGUUUAUUUUAUUAGAAUUAUUAGAAUUGUGAUUUAAGAUCGUUUUGAUAAUGUAUGUUUAUUUUAUUUUGUAAUAAAAAUUACAAAAAU